AGUAAAUUGCAUAUUUCUCGUAAACAAUGAAAUAUUUAUUGAUAUCGACGUUAAAAUUUUAACACAAAUUUACAGCGAUACGACGAAAAUUUGAAGAAACAUGAAUGUGACCCUAGUACACGGAUGCCUCAUCUACACUAUCAUUUUCUAUGUUUAGUGGACUAUGAAAAUGGGAUAAAACUGUAAUUUGGCAUUAGAAUUAAAAAGAUCAUUCCAUAGGGAAAAUGUGUACUAAGUUUCAAUUUUAUUUAACUUGAAGCUGGACAAACGGACAAACAAACAGACGAACGGACGAACGUACGCACAGACCAGAAAAACAUAAUGCCAAUAAAUGGAGCAUUAAAAAAAUUAAUAAUACAUACGAAUAUUUGGUAAUCGAGCCCAUGUGUAUGGGUCCAGAGGAAGCAGAUUAAAAUCUUAAUUUGUCUUGAUAUAUGCAGGCGGAAACACUUUUGAAAUAGAACAAAAGAAUCGAAGCUCUGUGUUUAUCGAGAAAGCGAUAAAAGUUAACUGUAAUGUUUGAUAUAGUAACAAAAUUUUAAAAAGUUAAUAGAAACAAAUAAAACGACAAUUUUCUUAUUUUAAAAAAACACCAUUUGCAUAAGUUUUCAAUGUAUCUAUUACAUAGUAAUGCAAAACAAUAAGAUAUCAAGUCGACGACAUGGUUCUUAUCGGGGCCUUUUAUAGCUGACUAUGCGGUAUCAUGGGCUUUGCUCAUUGUUGAAGGCCUUACGGUUACCUAUAGUUGUUAAUGUUUGUGUCAUUUUGGUCUUUUCUGGAUAGCUGUCUCAUUGGCAAUAAUACCACAUCUUCUUUUUUAUAUAUAGUAUCUAUAAGUUGGAUGUAGAAAAUGCAUAACCUUCGAUUUUUUUUAUCACGGACGGAGAACAUAUCAAUCUUUUAGUUCAGAAAUUUUCGUGUCUGCCCUUCCAUUAUGUGAAUCAAGAAAAAAUUCCCCAAAACAGGUAACGAUUGUAUCG
rnacentral:lncRNA from 1 species